CCUACGGGGGGCUGCAGUGGGGAAUAUUGGACAAUGGGGGGAACCCUGAUCCAGCCAUGCCGCGUGUGUGAAGAAGGCCCUCGGGUUGUAAAGCACUUUCAGUGAGGAAGAACGCCUGGUGGUUAAUACCCAUCAGGAAAGACAUCACUCACAGAAGAAGCACCGGCUAACUCCGUGCCAGCAGCCGCGGUAAUACGGAGGGUGCGAGGGUUAAUCGGAAUUACUGGGCGUAAAGCGCGCGUAGGUGGCUUGAUAAGCCGGUUGUGAAAGCCCCGGGCUCAACCUGGGAACGGCAUCCGGAACUGUCAAGCUAGAGUGCAGGAGAGGAAGGUAGAAUUCCCGGUGUAGCGGUGAAAUGCGUAGAGAUCGGGAGGAAUACCAGUGGCGAAGGCGGCCUUCUGGACUGACACUGACACUGAGGUGCGAAAGCGUGGGUAGCAAACAGGAUUAGAUACCCUAGUAGUC
rnacentral:rRNA from 1 species